GACGAACGCUGGCGGCGUGCUUAACACAUGCAAGUCGAACGGAAAGGCCCUGCUUUUGUGGGGUGCUCGAGUGGCGAACGGGUGAGUAACACGUGAGUAACCUGCCCUUGACUUUGGGAUAACUUCAGGAAACUGGGGCUAAUACCGGAUAGGAGCUCCUGCUGCAUGGUGGGGGUUGGAAAGUUUCGGCGGUUGGGGAUGGACUCGCGGCUUAUAAGCUUGUUGGUGGGGUAGUGGCUUACCAAGGCUUUGACGGGUAGCCGGCCUGAGAGGGUGAACGGCCACAUUGGGACUGAGAGACGGCCCAGACUCCUACGGGAGGCAGCAGUGGGGAAUAUUGCACAAUGGGCGGAAGCCUGAUGCAGCAACGCCGCGUGCGGGAUGACGGCCUUCGGGUUGUAAACCGCUUUCGCCUGUGACGAAGCGUGAGUGACGGUAAUGGGUAAAGAAGCACCGGCUAACUACGUG
rnacentral:rRNA from 1 species